rnacentral:rRNA from 1 species
AUGAUGUUGAUCCCUGAGGUUUUCCUGUGCCCAAUCAGCCUGGACCUCAUGUCCGACCCCGUCACCCUCCUCCCCACCGCCCAGACCUACGACCGCCCCAGCAUCCGGCGGUGGCUCGCCGCCGGCCACCGCACGUGCCCGGUCACCAUGCGCCCGCUGCCGCACCACACAUCGGGCUUGUUGGCGCCCAACCGCACGCUCAAGCACCUCAUCGACCGCUGGCUCCUCCUCGCCGACCUCGCGCUGCCCACGCUCAGGGACAACCUCCUCGACGCCGCCGCCGCCACUGACUCCGCUCCAAUGGUGGCGGCCGUGGAGACGCUGAGGAUCGUCAGGUCGCUCUCCCCUCCUGGCUUCUGCGCCCUGCUCCUACGCCUCCUCAUGGUUCGGAGCAGCGGUGAUGUGCUCGCCGAGCUGGCACUCGACUGCCUCCUAGCGUCGCCGUCCACGCGGGAGCUCGCCGACGCGCUGCAGGAGGAGAAGAAGUUGCCCUCCUCCUUCGCCUUCCUCCUGAGACAGGGGAGCCCCAAGGUCAAGACAGCCCUGUGCCGCCUAAUCCACACCGUCGGAGCUGUUGCCGUCGACGCCGUCGGGGCCUUGGGCCGCUCAGAGCCGGUCAUGGGAGCACUGGCAGCUCUGGUGCGCGACGACACCGCCGGCGGCGCGUCUGACGCCGCUCUGAGGGCGAUGUGCAGCCUCUGCUCGUCGGACCAGGCCAGCCGGGAGGCCGCGGUGACGGCGGGCGCCGUCGACGCCCUGCUCUCGUACAUCAGCUCCGGCGGCUCCAGAAAGAGGCCGUCUUCAUGUGCGCUCUGGACCCUGGCUCUGGAGACGCUGGAACUCGUGCUCGUCAGCGUGGACGCCGGCAGGCAGGCUAUGUACGCCCGCCCCGGUGCGACGGCCGUCUUGGUGAAGAUGGUCUUCAUGGUGCCCUCCCGUCAGGACCGGGUGGGCGGCUGCGGCAGCGAGCACGCCAUCGGGUCGCUGCUGGUGGCAUGCCGCGAGUCUGCGGAGGCGCGGGUGGACGCCAUCAACGCCGGGCUGCUCACGCGGCUGCUUCUGUUGCUGCAGAGCCAGUGCAGCCCCAGGGCCAAGGCCAACGCCAUGGCGCUGCUCAAGCUGCUCAGGGCCAUCUGGGCUCGCCAUUGA